CGCUAAACUUGAUGGCGUACGAACCAAUGAAAACGAUGCGGGGCGAAAUUAAAUAUUGGCGGGUAUCACAACCAUUUCUGUUUUGGUUUUUAGCAAUUGUCGUACAUCUGUCGUAGCUCACCAUGCGAAAGUCUGUUCUGGACUGCGUUAUUGGGGCCCUAGAUGACCUCAGUGCAGACAAUUUUAAACGAUUUAAGGUGAAACUGUGCGAACCGAGAGAAAUCAAGUAUGGCCAAAUUGAGAAAGAGUCUAAAGUGGAAGUCGCGCAAAGAAUAGUCAGUGUAUUUACCAAUGAUGGAGCCGUGAACCAGACUGCGGACGUGCUGAGAGCCAUUGGCCUGAACGGAGAAGCCGAGGCGCUGGAAAGGGAAGGUUCCGAAGUCGGUGUUGCUGUAGGGCUCCGGUGAAUCCGGAAGAGAAGGACGGGACUUAAAGGGCAACAUUUUUUGACAGGCACAGGAGUGAUCUGCCCCACAUUGCCAGGCAAUGUCGAAGAUAUAGUAUGGAAUAUUAUUUAGCACUAUACAACGUAGAAUAUAAUCAUUAUGAUAUUAUUAAAAAGCAUGCGAAAUAUCCAUGAUGAAAUCAUUACAAUGUAAUCAACACAAUGUAAUCGAGUAUGUAUUUGCACCUUGUAUUAGCCUAAGAGUUUCUGUUAGCUACUUUGUUAGUCCUGAAUCUAUGAAUAUCCACUUUUAUUAGUGUAUACUUUAUCACUAUGUUAAAGGACAAAUAUAUUAUCAACCCUCUAGCCAGACAAUGUGCAACAGGCUGAAGCAGCCAAGGUUUACUACGGCAGGAAGGGAUUCGCCUGAGUUCACCAGAAGUUCACGGCUGAGCAUUUUUAAAAAACCAAGUGGAGAUGGUCACGCCACCAUUAUGUUCGGCUGAGGGACCAAACAGUAAAAGAAAUGAUGGACAAACUUAUCACCUACGGGUGUGGAUUAAGGGGAAAAAACAAUGAUUGUGAAUGGUUGAAGGAAUGAUGAUGCUCAAGUGAUGAGAUAUUGUUAAAUGAUAAGAACUUGUAUAAAAAUUGGUGUAAAACAGUAUUGGACACACUUGUAAGUGUCCGGCCUUGGUUGUAUCUUCAUUGUUGCAAUAAAGACUGAAUUUGGAUCCACA